GACGAACGCUGGCGGCGUGCCUAAUACAUGCAAGUUGAGCGCUGAAGGUUGGUACUUGUACCAACUGGAUGAGCAGCGAACGGGUGAGUAACGCGUGGGGAAUCUGCCUUUGAGCGGGGGACAACAUUUGGAAACGAAUGCUAAUACCGCAUAAAAACUUUAAACACAAGUUUUAAGUUUGAAAGAUGCAAUUGCAUCACUCAAAGAUGAUCCCGCGUUGUAUUAGCUAGUUGGUGAGGUAAAGGCUCACCAAGGCGAUGAUACAUAGCCGACCUGAGAGGGUGGUCGGCCACAUUGGGACUGCGACACGGCCCAAACUCCUACGGGAGGCAGCAGUAGGGAAUCUUCGGCAAUGGACGGAAGUCUGACCGAGCAACGCCGCGUGAGUGAAGAAGGUUUUCGGAUCGUAAAACUCUGUUGGUAGAGAAGAACGUUGGUGAGAGUGGAAAGCUCAUCAAGUGACGGUAACUACCCAGAAAGGGACGGCUAACUACGUG
rnacentral:rRNA from 1 species